GGGUUGUGAGGUUAAGCGACUAAGCGUACACGGUGGAUGCCCUGGCAGUCAGAGGCGAUGAAGGACGUGCUAAUCUGCGAUAAGCGUCGGUAAGGUGAUAUGAACCGUUAUAACCGGCGAUUUCCGAAUGGGGAAACCCAGUGUGAUUCGUCACACUAUCAUUAACUGAAUCCAUAGGUUAAUGAGGCGAACCGGGGGAACUGAAACAUCUAAGUACCCCGAGGAAAAGAAAUCAACCGAGAUUCCCCCAGUAGCGGCGAGCGAACGGGGAGCAGCCCAGAGCCUGAAUCAGUGUGUGUGUUAGUGGAAGCGUCUGGAAAGGCGUGCGAUACAGGGUGACAGCCCCGUACACAAAAAUGCACAUGCUGUGAGCUCGAUGAGUAGGGCGGGACACGUGGUAUCCUGUCUGAAUAUGGGGGGACCAUCCUCCAAGGCUAAAUACUCCUGACUGACCGAUAGUGAACCAGUACCGUGAGGGAAAGGCGAAAAGAACCCCGGCGAGGGGAGUGAAAAAGAACCUGAAACCGUGUACGUACAAGCAGUGGGAGCACGCUUAGGCGUGUGACUGCGUACCUUUUGUAUAAUGGGUCAGCGACUUAUAUUCUGUAGCAAGGUUAACCGAAUAGGGGAGCCGAAGGGAAACCGAGUCUUAACUGGGCGUUAAGUUGCAGGGUAUAGACCCGAAACCCGGUGAUCUAGCCAUGGGCAGGUUGAAGGUUGGGUAACACUAACUGGAGGACCGAACCGACUAAUGUUGAAAAAUUAGCGGAUGACUUGUGGCUGGGGGUGAAAGGCCAAUCAAACCGGGAGAUAGCUGGUUCUCCCCGAAAGCUAUUUAGGUAGCGCCUCGUGAAUUCAUCUCCGGGGGUAGAGCACUGUUUCGGCAAGGGGGUCAUCCCGACUUACCAACCCGAUGCAAACUGCGAAUACCGGAGAAUGUUAUCACGGGAGACACACGGCGGGUGCUAACGUCCGUCGUGAAGAGGGAAACAACCCAGACCGCCAGCUAAGGUCCCAAAGUCAUGGUUAAGUGGGAAACGAUGUGGGAAGGCCCAGACAGCCAGGAUGUUGGCUUAGAAGCAGCCAUCAUUUAAAGAAAGCGUAAUAGCUCACUGGUCGAGUCGGCCUGCGCGGAAGAUGUAACGGGGCUAAACCAUGCACCGAAGCUGCGGCAGCGACGCUUAUGCGUUGUUGGGUAGGGGAGCGUUCUGUAAGCCUGCGAAGGUGUGCUGUGAGGCAUGCUGGAGGUAUCAGAAGUGCGAAUGCUGACAUAAGUAACGAUAAAGCGGGUGAAAAGCCCGCUCGCCGGAAGACCAAGGGUUCCUGUCCAACGUUAAUCGGGGCAGGGUGAGUCGACCCCUAAGGCGAGGCCGAAAGGCGUAGUCGAUGGGAAACAGGUUAAUAUUCCUGUACUUGGUGUUACUGCGAAGGGGGGACGGAGAAGGCUAUGUUGGCCGGGCGACGGUUGUCCCGGUUUAAGCGUGUAGGCUGGUUUUCCAGGCAAAUCCGGAAAAUCAAGGCUGAGGCGUGAUGACGAGGCACUACGGUGCUGAAGCAACAAAUGCCCUGCUUCCAGGAAAAGCCUCUAAGCAUCAGGUAACAUCAAAUCGUACCCCAAACCGACACAGGUGGUCAGGUAGAGAAUACCAAGGCGCUUGAGAGAACUCGGGUGAAGGAACUAGGCAAAAUGGUGCCGUAACUUCGGGAGAAGGCACGCUGAUAUGUAGGUGAAGUCCCUCGCGGAUGGAGCUGAAAUCAGUCGAAGAUACCAGCUGGCUGCAACUGUUUAUUAAAAACACAGCACUGUGCAAACACGAAAGUGGACGUAUACGGUGUGACGCCUGCCCGGUGCCGGAAGGUUAAUUGAUGGGGUUAGCGCAAGCGAAGCUCUUGAUCGAAGCCCCGGUAAACGGCGGCCGUAACUAUAACGGUCCUAAGGUAGCGAAAUUCCUUGUCGGGUAAGUUCCGACCUGCACGAAUGGCGUAAUGAUGGCCAGGCUGUCUCCACCCGAGACUCAGUGAAAUUGAACUCGCUGUGAAGAUGCAGUGUACCCGCGGCAAGACGGAAAGACCCCGUGAACCUUUACUAUAGCUUGACACUGAACAUUGAGCCUUGAUGUGUAGGAUAGGUGGGAGGCUUUGAAGUGUGGACGCCAGUCUGCAUGGAGCCGACCUUGAAAUACCACCCUUUAAUGUUUGAUGUUCUAACGUUGACCCGUAAUCCGGGUUGCGGACAGUGUCUGGUGGGUAGUUUGACUGGGGCGGUCUCCUCCUAAAGAGUAACGGAGGAGCACGAAGGUUGGCUAAUCCUGGUCGGACAUCAGGAGGUUAGUGCAAUGGCAUAAGCCAGCUUGACUGCGAGCGUGACGGCGCGAGCAGGUGCGAAAGCAGGUCAUAGUGAUCCGGUGGUUCUGAAUGGAAGGGCCAUCGCUCAACGGAUAAAAGGUACUCCGGGGAUAACAGGCUGAUACCGCCCAAGAGUUCAUAUCGACGGCGGUGUUUGGCACCUCGAUGUCGGCUCAUCACAUCCUGGGGCUGAAGUAGGUCCCAAGGGUAUGGCUGUUCGCCAUUUAAAGUGGUACGCGAGCUGGGUUUAGAACGUCGUGAGACAGUUCGGUCCCUAUCUGCCGUGGGCGCUGGAGAACUGAGGGGGGCUGCUCCUAGUACGAGAGGACCGGAGUGGACGCAUCACUGGUGUUCGGGUUGUCAUGCCAAUGGCACUGCCCGGUAGCUAAAUGCGGAAGAGAUAAGUGCUGAAAGCAUCUAAGCACGAAACUUGCCCCGAGAUGAGUUCUCCCUGACUCCUUGAGAGUCCUGAAGGAACGUUGAAGACGACGACGUUGAUAGGCCGGGUGUGUAAGCGCAGCGAUGCGUUGAGCUAACCGGUACUAAUGAACCGUGAGGCUUAACCUUACAACGCCGAAGCUGUU
rnacentral:rRNA from 1 species